ACUGAAUAUGCGGGAGCUUGGGGAACUGGGCUGAGAGGAUAACUAUUCCGUUAUCGACCGUUGAACCUGAACUGGAUAAUGCCAGCGGAGGAAUGGACGUACGUAUAACA
rnacentral:ncRNA from 1 species